rnacentral:misc_RNA from 1 species
UAAUCGACUCUCGCACAAGGCCCUAAGCAAUGACAGCGAUGUUGAAUAUUGCUUCCAAUGUGUCUGAUGUUGUAUUUAACCUAAUUACCUAAAUACUAGACUCGCCGUUCAUCACAUAACGUUUAGGUUUGCUGGAUAACAUCUCGACACGUUCGGUGUUAGGCGGAUCUCCUGCACACCUAAAACAUAUUUCUACCGUAACACCUUGUCCUAUCUAUAAAAAGCUGUCAGCUAAGAAAAGCGUCCGCGUGCAGCUUCAAGCUUUACAGACCAUUGUGGGAUUCGGUAGUAUUCUAUGACCGUGGGAUUCGCGUGACCUGUGACCUCUGAGACACGCACUGACCGGGAGACAGGAUGGCGAGCCAGUGCCGCCAGAACUACCACGAGGACUCUGAGGCCGGGGUCAACAAACAGAUCAACAUGGAGCUGUUCGCCAGCUACACCUACCUCUCUAUGGCCUACUUUUUCGACCGGGACGACGUCGCCUUCCCCGGCUUCUUCGACUACUUCAAGAAGGCUUCUGACGAGGAGCGCGAGCACGCGCAGAAGCUGAUGAAGUUCCAGAACCAGCGCGGCGGACGGGUGCUGCUGCAGCCCGUCAUGAAGCCGGCUCAGGACCAGUGGGGCUCGCCGCUGGCGGCCGCCCGCGCCGCCCUCGAGCUGGAGAAGUCGGUGAAUCAGUCGCUGCUGGAUCUACACACGGUGGCCGGCUCGCACGGCGACGCCCAGAUGUGCGACUUCAUCGAGAACGAGUUCCUCACCGAACAGGUGGAGGCGAUCAAGGAGCUGGGUGACAUGAUUACAAGGAUGGAGCGUUGUGGCCCGGGUCUUGGAGAGUACCUCUUCGACCGCGACCUCAAGAAGGAGUGAGCACCGCGGCCCGGGCCUGGGAGAGUACCUCUUCGACCGCGACCUCAAGAAGGACUGAGCACCGCGGCCAGGGCCUGGGAGAUCUGUUCGACCGCGACCUCAAGAAGGAGUGAGCGCUAAGCACUCCAUUUCUUUUCCCGGCGUCACCGAUGAGGGUCGUCGCCAGCCGGAGUUCUCAAUCGUGUACUGCGGAUUUCAGCAGGUGGACGCGACACUCGCGGAUGCGCAGCAUGACGCCGGAGCCGGCGCCGCAGCGCAUCAGGUGCGCGUUACAGGCGCCGAUCUGUCCAAUGUGCUCCACCU